rnacentral:rRNA from 1 species
GUCGUGCAAAUCGAUUUAAUUUGAAAUAAAAAAUUUAUUUUUAAUAUUUUAUUUUUUUUUUUAAUAAAAAUAAUUUUAUAAAUUUUUAUUUUUAGUAUAUUUUAUAGAAAAAAUAAUUUUAAUUAUAGUUUAAUUGUAUUGUAAAAGAUAAUUGAAAUAUUAUUUUAUUAUAUAAAAGUAAAAUUUAAUUUUUGUACCUUGUGUAUCAGGGUUUAUUAAAUAAAUAUUAAUAAUUUUAAUUUUCUCGAAUUUAAGAGAGCUAAUAAAUUAUUUUUUUUAUUGUAAAAAAAAUAUUUAUAAUAAUUUAUUUGUAAUGAAAUGUUAUUCGUUCUUAAAAAUAUCUAGUUUAUUUAGAAAUGAAUUUAAUUCAGAUAUUUAUAUAUUAAUUUAUUAAUUUUUUAAUAAAUUAAUUUUUAAAUAUUAAUAAUUAAAGGGAUUAGCUUUUAAUUAAAAAAUUAAAAAUUUUAUAAUAUUAUUAAAAAAUGUAAGUUUAGAAAUAGCUAUCAAUAAUAUUUUGUUAUAAUUAAUUUAAUAUAGUUAAUAUUAUUUUAAAUAAUUUUAAUUUUUUUAUUUAUAAAUAAUUUUUAAUUUUGUAAAUUUAGAUAUAAUGAUAAAAUUAGUAUAAAUUUAAUGUUUAAUUAAUUUUUUUAUAAAGAUUAAUUAAAGGAAUUCGGCAAAAAUUUUACUCGCCUGUUUAACAAAAACAUGUCUUUUUGAGUUUAAUAUAAAGUCUAGCCUGCCCACUGAAUAUUUUAAAUGGCCGCAGUAAUUUGACUGUGCAAAGGUAGCAUAAUCAUUAGUUUUUUAAUUGAAAGCUUGUAUGAAAGGUUGGACGAGGUAAAAUCUGUCUCUAUUUAAUUUAAAUUAGAAUUUAAUUUUUAAGUUAAAAAGCUUAAAUUUUUUUAAAAGACGAGAAGACCCUAUAGAGCUUUAUUAUUUAUUUAAUAUAAUUAAUUUAGGUUUAUUUAUAUUUUAUUAUUUAAAUAAUUUUAUUGGGGUAAUAGAAAGAUUAAAAAAAUUCUUUUUUUUAAUUUAUAUUUAUUUAUAGUUUUUAAUGAUCCAAUUUUAUUGAUUAUAAGAUUAAGUUACCUUAGGGAUAACAGCGUAAUUUUUUUGGAGAGUUCAUAUCGAUAAAAAAGUUUGCGACCUCGAUGUUGGAUUAAAGAUUAGUUUAGGUGUAGAAGUUUAAAUUUUUGGUCUGUUCGACCAUUAAAUCUUUACAUGAUCUGAGUUCAGACCGGCGUAAGCCAGGUCGGUUUCUAUCUUUAAUAAAUUAUAAUAUUUUAGUACGAAAGGACCAAAUAUUAAAUAUAUUUAUAUUUUAAUUUUUGAAUAUUAUUAUUAUUUUGGCAGAUUAGUGCAAUGAAUUUAGAAUUCAUA